UUUUCUGUUAUCAAAUCUCAGUAUGUUGGUGGACCUGUGUUCCUAGCAGUGACCUUCAUAAGUGUUUCUUAGAUUUUUCUCCCCACUUAUGUGAGAUAGGAAGCCUAGAAGUGGGAGAAAUGCCUUUCCCCAGGUUUGAUAAAAGGCAAAUUCCUUCCCCAUGGAGAGGAGGCCUUUGUUAAGGAGAAUUCACUGUGUGUUUCACAGUGGUUACUCUUCCCUCCCUGUGCGAGAGUCAGGAGAUCUUUUUGGUUCAUCCUGAGAAUCUUGUGGAGUUGCUGGAAGUAAGACUCAGAAGCACAUCAGGACCCCUAAGACUGUGACCCCCAGGAGUUUCUCACUCUCUAAUUAGUUCACAUUCACCUCCAGAAAUUCAUCAAAAUUAUCAUUUUACUGUUUUUACCAGUUGUUGACUCCAGCAGCUUCUGCUUCAGUAAAUCUUACUGCUGCUCACUUUUUGGGUCCACACUGCGUUUAUUAGCUGCAACGCUCACCGCUAUGGUCUGCAGCUUCACUCCUGAAGCCAGCGAGACCACGAACCCACCAGAAUGAAGAAACUCCGAACACAUCCAAACAUCAGAAGGAACAAACUCCGGACAGGCGGCCUUUAAGAACUGUAACACUCACCUCGAGGGUCUGCGGCUUCAUUCUUGAAGUCAGUGAGACCAAGAACCCACCAAUUCCGGACACAAUGUUACUCCAGAUAAUCAGCGCCAUUUUCUGAAGCUUGAGAUGCAGGAAAAGAGGAGUGCUAUCCAUUAGAUGGAGACAGGAAGUAGAAAAAGAGCUUAAAGUUUUGGCUUGUGUUACUUCCUUGGGGAGAUCUUGCUGGACCACAUCAGGAAUAGGAGGGGUGUGUCCCCACAGCACUGUGUACACGAUUGUCCUGGAAUGCCCCACCAGCAUCAAUGACUUGGUUCUCUUCCCUGGCCCUGAAGGAGUGGGCCACUUUCCAGACACGUCCCAGGCAGCAGUCCUGCUCCGUGACACUGUCAAGAAGAGAGGAGCCUCAGGAAAAGUCACAGACAUAAACAAGAUAAAGCCUGUGACCUUCUAGGACACUUUGGCCUGUGGACCACAGAACUGUCAAUGGCCCAGCCCUUGCUCUGAUAAGGGAGGGCAGGAACAUUCCAGGAGAUGCAUUUGUCUCAAGCCCUCAAAGGCUGAGCAUCCCCGAGAAUCUGGCAGAGAGAGAGAGGACGGGGGAGGCUGGUGGGAGGAUCUCUCCAGGGCGUGGAGCCAGCCCCACUGCCCUUGCUAUCCCUUCAGCCCAGAUAUGGGGCAAGAAAUUCAGGCCAACUCAGCAAACAUGUACCUGGCAGCUCCUUCCUGCCUGGCACUGCUAGGGGCAGAGUGCUGGAGGAGAUGGGAGGGCAAGGAUCCCAGGUUGCAGGGGCUCAGAAAGGUGGAGGGAGAUGUGGAUAUCAAUUGCCUGCAUGGAAAAUGAGGGGACAAAGGACAGGCUUUAGUGCUCUGAGGAAGGAGGCAGUCAUUCUGUCUGAGGUUGUGGGAGUCUAGGAAUAUUUAUUUCCUAGAGAACGAGGCCCCUAAGUAGGCCGUAAAGUUAACCAUGACUUUGACAGGUGGAGGGGUCAGAGGAGAGCAUUCCUGGCACAGAUUGGUAUGUUCAAAAGCAUGGAGGAAGACAAUUGCAGAUGUGUUUCAGUUCAUGCAAAGGCCCCUGGAAGGUUGCAAUGGAAGAUGAAGCUAGAAAGAUCAGGGCUGCAGUAGGAGGGGCCUUGACUCCCUGGGAAAGGGUGUGAAACUAUCCUAUAGGAAUAGGAGCCAGGGCUGCCUCUCCGGUAGGGCAGAAACAGUACCAGCUGGGCUUCACAUGGAGGAAGGAGGGGUGGAAGGGGAGCAGACAGGGCCAGUGGAGGGGAUGUAAUAUUCCAAGUUAGAGGUGGUGAGGCCUGAAUUCCGGUAGCAGCCAUGGGAUUUCUGGAAAAAGUUGCAGAUUGUUUUCUUGCUCCUCUUUUAAGACAGUUAUUAGCAGCUGUGGGGCCACCUGAGUGUGUACUGAGCACUUGGGAAACAGGUCCUGAACCAGAAAGAGUGUCCAGGUACAAGUCUACAUCCCAUACCUUGUCAGGCAGAAGUUAGUAGGAAACCCUGCAGCCCAGCCAGAUAAAGGCGUGGCUUCCAGAAUGCCCUGGAACUGCCUGGGUGAUCCUUUUAAAACAUGAAUAUAAACAUGUCUUCAUCCUCCUUAAAACCCUUCGCUGUUUCCACGUCACUCUCAGAAUGAAGUCCAAGCUCUUUGGCUUGGUGUUUAAAGCUUCAUCAAGCCUGUGCUUAUACCUCUGUCAUCCCAUCUCUGUAGUGUAGGGCAGGGAUCCAAACACUUGUCUGCAUGUUCAAAUUCACCUGGAGAUCUUUUAGAAUGUCUAAAGCACAGCCCAGCACCCAGACCAAUUAAACCACAAUUUCUGGGAUGGGACCUAGUUGCUCAGGUGACCCCAGAGAAGCUAGAAACCCAGGUAUAGGGCCUACAUCCUAAGCUCCAGUCAUACCAGAUGUAUUAGCUAGCUGUUUCCAUCACAGACCACUUCAAAUUCGUGGUGGCUUACAAAAAAUAUUGAUUACCAUGCUCACAGAAAUGCAGAUCAUCUGUGAUUUGGCAGGUAAAUGCUGGUGGCAGUUCUGCUUCAGGCUUCGGGGUCAGCUGGGGUUGACUCUAGGCUGACUCUAGACAUUGCAUUCUAGACAUUGCAUUGAGGGAAUUCUACAGAUCUCUCAUAUUUCUGGGAGCUACAUCUUUCCCUGCAGCAAAUUUUCAAGGUAUUGAUAGAAGUGCACGUGCCCCUUAAGAUCUUAGAUUUUAGCUGGCAACCCCUCACUUAACUCACAUCCCAUUGGUCAAAACAAGUCCCAUGGUCAAGGCCAACAAUGAUGGGGCAGGAAAACAGACUCUGCUCACUCUCCUGUUCUGCAAGUCACAUGGCAGGAAGGAGUGAGGAACUAGAAUAAUCCACUCCAUCUCACAGGUAAUCUUGUGACCUUGAAUGGGUCGCGUCUAUGAACCCCAGUUUCCUUACCUGGAGAAUGAGAUAGUUGCCCUGGAUGCCCACUUACAUGACCGCCCCUCCCAGCUCUUCUCAUCCACAAAGACCUUUGCACAUGUAUGCACAGCCACCCACUUGUGCCCAUACUACACAUUUAAAUCAUGACUAUUAUUUUUAAAUACUUGUUGAUUUUCAAAAUGCUUCACAUACUCACACAGGCCAUAUACUCAUCUGCAGAUACAGAUCCUUGCAUUCUCAGUCCUACACAUACAUAUAUACUUACUUUUCAAACACACACGUUUAUGUGCACAUGUUCCCACAUUUAUACAAAUGCACACAGAGGCACCUAUGUGCCGGUGUGCACUCGCUCAGCCAUACUCACACAUGCCACAUGGAUUCUCAGACAUGUUUAGUUACAAACAGUCUCCCCCACCCUUCUCACCCUCACACACUGGCUCACUCACACAUAUAUUCUAUACCUCUCCGCACAGCUGUUUAAUCAGAAUCAGGGCCUGCUGAUGAGGCUGUUGUCUGGCGCUCAGGGAGCUGCUUUAACUCUUUGCUGCCCCCAUAAAGGCUGGCUGUACUAUGUGCCCUCCAUCUGCAGACCCCGGGGAACAAAAAGGCCACAGAAGAGUCAGGCGGAGAUGCUUAAUCUGCAGGAUUGGAGCUCAUCUGGUGCCACAGGGCCAGGGAGAGGGUGCAGAAGACACAGGGACAGACAGCACUCUGGACCCUCUGAAUUCACUCUGUGCUUUCUCCUCCUGGCUGCAUCUCCCUCAUGUCCCAGGUAUCUUCAGUAGGAUAACCAAAAAAAAAAAAAAAAAAAGAAUCAUCCAAACCAAGACAGUGUUGAGAGCGAAAGGGACACUAACAACAAUUACACUGAAUUACCUGAGAUUGUCACAGGCAAGCAGCAAAUGCCUGGUCCCUACUCAUGAGAGACCAGAUAUUGUGGACUUGCCCUGAGCUCCUGUUUCAGCCCAACUCAAGGACAGUCCCGGUUGAAAGGAACUUUCAGGUAGAAUUCCCUCAUUUUGCAGUUGAAGGCCCAGAGAGAAGCUGGGACUUGCCUGAGGUGACACAACAAGUUAGUAACAAAACAGUGUAUAGAACUAAGUUUUUCAAUCUUCCAGGCUAGAGUUCUCCGUGGUCUUAGGUGCAGCUCCUGGGAAACUGGCUGAAACUGUGGGAUUAGCAUGCAAGGGUUCACUGAGGAGUACUUGAGGAAAGAAAGCAGGACAGAGCAGAGGGACAGCAGCCUCAGCAGAGGUCAUGGGGAGCUCUGGAGCUGAGAGGGUUCUUCAAGGUUGUCCCAAAUGAAUCUAUGGGCCGAGGCUUUGUGCCUCCAGCGAGAGGACGUGAUGUUGGGUGGGGCAGUACCCUGCAGCUGAGAGCAACCCCCAGGGAGGGAUGCAACAGCCUGUCAACUAAGGGAGACAGUGCCUUGGUCCUCCAGGGGAGGUGGGCAGCACACCAUGGCAUCCACCACAUCCUGCUGUUAGCUUGUGUUAAACAAGCUACCUGCAGCCCCAGCCCCCCAGAGGCCUGUUUGUACCUGGGCAGCAGUUGUAUUGGCAUUCAUUUCACUGGCUCCACAGGGGGUCCUGGAAGGAAAUUGCUGGGGAGGAGGCCACCUGGCUGAGGCUGCUCCUGAGACUGACCAGUGCGUUCCUUGUGGAGCCCGAGCUUCCUGCCAGCCCCAGCACGGCCAUCUCUGCAGCUUUGCAGCUGCAUUCUUCACACCCAUCAGAAGUCACUGUUGCUUACUUUAUUUUUCCACUUCUUCGAUCCUUCUACAUGUGGUCCAAGGGAGUUUCCUGUCUAACUCAGCCAGGGAACAGGGGCAGCUAGCAGAGAGCCAAAAGGGGGCACCUGGGCAUGAGUUAAGAGGGCAUCUGUGGCAAGCCCAUUACACAGCUAAAGAGAACAAUCUCAAUGAGAAGACUCAGGCUUCUUUAUGAAGGAGGGACACAUUUCCCAUGGGCUGUGGAGUCCAGCAAUCCUGACUUCCAGUCUUAGCUCUGCUGCCUACCUACGGAGGCACUUUACACACACUUCCAGGCGUGAAAAAAAAAAAAUUUCAGCAAAUUAAAUUUAACAAAGUUUAGUUGAGCCAAGAACUAUUCGCAAAUCGAGCCCCCUCAGAACCAGGAAACGGAACGGAAGUGAGGCACAGCAACAGCUUCACUGGUUACAGCUCAGCAUUGGCCGUAUUUGGAUGUGGUGUGAUGAGUUGACUGCCCGUGAUUGGCUGAACCUCAGCAUCUUGUUAUUGGCUGAGACACAACUACUUGUCACAAAAAAUGCAUACUCCUAAAUUAGGCUUUUAUUCUGUUUACGUACUAAGUAAGGUGCAGUUUGUUAUGUAAAUACUCAAGGUACUGAGGCAUCUUCAGGCCAACUUUAGUUAAAUUUAACACAAGCUACCUAGAACUUAGGGAUGGCUCUCUAUAUACAGUAGAGCAUUGUAAGAAUGUAAUGAGGUAACCUGGGAAUAGGAAAGGGAUCUGCAACGUGCCAGCACUCUGCUAAGCACGCAGCACCCACAGCCUCCCUUAUCCCUAUCACAAGCCUGCAAGGUGAGUACCCAGGAUCCCAUUUUACAGAUAAACAAGCUUGCCCCAGGGCCCAGAUCCAAGCUCAACCUGACAUUGUAUGAUUGGUUGCCAGCAUUCUCUGCAGAUUAGUCUUGACAAGGGCCAGUUUCUUACUCCAGUAAAGCAGGAAUUAAAAAGAAAAUAAAAAAAGAAAACACUGGAGCAGUGCUUGACAUUUCACUAUGUUUCCAUCAUAUUGGGUGAAGGCAUCAAGAAGAGCAAAAAUCCUCCUCCUUAAAAACUCAAGAAUUUCAGUGCCAAAAAAAUGACUGUGGAAUUUUUCCAU
rnacentral:lncRNA from 1 species